AUGCUGGUGACUACUAAUAGCUGGUCCCGCGGAGCCACUGCUCUGCCGCUGGAUGGGAGGGACGCUUGGUCGCGGGCGACCUGGAUGCGAACGGCACUGUGUGCUGCUCCCAGGCUGGUCGCCCCUCUUGUCCUGCCCGCUUUAUUUCUCCUUAGCAUGAGGGUCACCUCGCAGGUGGCAAGGGCCCGUGCCCCCUGCCUGGUUGCCGGACGCUGCUCAGCCUGUUGCUCAGCCCAUUGCUUGGCCCGUCACUUUGCCCAUCACUCAAUCCAUCACUCUGCCUGUCACUUGGUCCGCCGCUCGGCCCGCCACGCCGCCCAUUGCUUGGCCCGUUGCUUGGCCCAUUGGUUGGCCUGUCACUCGGCCCGUUGCUUGGCCCACCACUUGGCCCAUCACUCAGUCCAUCACCUUGCCUGUCACUUGGCCCACCGUUCAGCCUGUCGCUUGGCCCAUUGCUCAGCUCGUCUCUCGGCCCAUCGCUCGGCCUGUUGCUUGGCCUGUUGCUUGGCCUGUCGCUUGGCCUGUCGCUCAGCCCAUCACUCGGCCCAUUGCUUGGCCCGUCCCUCGGCCCAUUGCCCAGCCUGCUCCUCGGCCCACCGCUCAGCCUGCCAUUCAGCCCACCACUCGGCCUGUUGCUUGGCCCAUCACUUGGCCCGUUGCUUGGCCCAUUGCUCGGCCUGUUGCUUGGCCUGUUGCUCAGCCCAUCGCUCGGCCUGUUGCUUGGCCUGUUGCUCAGCCCAUCACUCAGCCUGUUGCUCGGCCUGUUGCUCGGCCUGUUGCUCGGCCCAUCGCUCGGCCCAUUGCUUGGCCCGUUGCUCGGCCCGUUGCCCAGCCUGCUCCUCGGCCCACCGCUCAGCCUGCCAUUCAGCCCACAGCUCGGCCCACAGCUUGGCCCGCCGCUCGGCCUACCGCGGCCCCGGGCCCUGGCGCGGGAGUCUCUGCAGCUCUGUCUCUGGGAGCGGGGCUGGCACCGUGGCCCCUCGGCCCCCGCCUGCUCCGGCAGCGCUCGCCCCGCUCCCUGCCGCGGCGGCGCUUCCCCGGCCCUGCACAUCAUCUCACUCACUCAYUCUCGCCCUUCCCAGCUCCGUGCUGGCUGCCCACAGCUCCGCGCUCACGCUGGCGCCAAGGCCGCUUUUCUUGCACAGUUCACUGCCAGUGCCACCUUCCCCAACAUUCAAUUUUUUCCCCUUCCCUUAG
rnacentral:lncRNA from 1 species